GAUGAACGCUGGCGGCGUGCCUAACACAUGCAAGUCGAACGAAGCUUGACGGAUGAUUUCUUCGGAAUGAAACCAGAUAUGACUUAGUGGCGGACGGGUGAGUAACACGUGAGCAACCUGCCUUUCAGAGGGGGAGUAACGGCUGGAAACGGUCGCUAAUACCGCAUGAAGUGUUCGGAUGGCAUCAUCUGAACAUCAAAGAUUUAUCGCUGAAAGAAUGGGCUCGCGUCUGAUUAGAUAGUUGGUGGGGUAACGGCCUACCAACGUCGACGAUCAGUAGCCGGACUGAGAGGUUGAACGGCCACAUUGGGACGUGAGAUACGGCCCAGACUCCUACGGGAGGCAGCAGUGGG
rnacentral:rRNA from 1 species